rnacentral:misc_RNA from 1 species
UGAUAAGGUCGCCAUUUUUACUUUGUUAUUUUUGAAAAAUAAACAAAUUACAGUUUUUUUUACAGCAAAAGUGUACAAUUAAUUAGGCCAUAAUACUGUUCAGGCUCAUAAGCCUCAUCUGAUUGUACAGUUAGUAUAAGAUUACGAUGGGACUGACAUGUACUAGUGUAUAAAAGUCCCCAAAUAAAAUAGUGAAAACUUUUGUAAGUGUAAGCAUAACAAAACAAUUUUAGGCAAAGCUUAAAUGUACAAGGAAAUAAAACAAUUAUUUUCAUAACAUUGUGAUUACGUGGAAAGAAACAUUUAUUUUUAUUUGUUUUGGUUUAAGAUACAAUAUAAUAAUAAUAUAAUAACAAUACAGUGCUUCUUAAAUUAAUAAAAUAAUACAUAAUCGUUUUUUUUACAUACAAUCUUUUUGAACAUCAAUGCUUUCUGUUGCGAAUGUGAUUAUACACUUCGUGAGCAGUGCCAGCAGCGCCGAUUAUUCCGAGACCCUUUUU